rnacentral:rRNA from 1 species
GAUGAACGCUGGCGGCGUGCCUAAUACAUGCAAGUCGAGCGAACAGACGAGGAGCUUGCUCCUCUGACGUUAGCGGCUGACGGGUGAGUAACACGUGGAUAACCUACCUAUAAGACUGGGAUAACUUCGGGAAACCGGAGCUAAUACCGGAUAAUAUCUUGAACCGCAUGGUUCAAUAGUGAAAGACGGUUUUGCUGUCACUUAUAGAUGGUUCCGCGCUGCAUUAGCUAGUUGGUAAGGUAACGGCUUACCAAGGCAACGAUGCGUAGCCGACCUGAGAGGGGGAACGGCCACACUGGAAGUGGGACAAGGGCCAGACUCCUAAGGGAGGCAGCAGUAGGGAAUCUUCCGCAAUGGGCGAAAGCCUGACGGAGCAAGGCCGCGUGAGUGAUAAAGGUCUUCGGAGCGUAAAACUCUGUUAUUAGGGAAAAACAAAUGUGUAAGUAAAUAUGCACGGCUUGACGGUAACUAAUCAGAAAGCCACGGCUAACUACGUG